AGGUCCCUGGAGCAGAUGAGAGACAGCAGACGGAACUACUGAUCCAUGAGAGGAUCUUCCCUCUUAUCCCAUGACUGCAUACUUUGCCCAAGAGUCACCUGUGAGGGACCUUGUCAAAGGCUUUCUGAAAGUCCAGAUCCCUAAAAAAUGUCAAAUGGAGAUGUGGACCCCUCUGGCAAUCUUAGAUAUUCUGCAGACCUGCAUCUUGAAAAUCCCUGUUCUAGU